GUGACCAGCGGAGGGAUCAUUACCGAGUUUACAACUCCCAAACCCCUGUGAACAUACCACUUGUUGCCUCGGCGGAUCAGCCCGCUCCCGGUAAAACGGGACGGCCCGCCAGAGGACCCCUAAACUCUGUUUCUAUAUGUAACUUCUGAGUAAAACCAUAAAUAAAUCAAAACUUUCAACAACGGAUCUCUUGGUUCUGGCAUCGAUGAAGAACGCAGCAAAAUGCGAUAAGUAAUGUGAAUUGCAGAAUUCAGUGAAUCAUCGAAUCUUUGAACGCACAUUGCGCCCGCCAGUAUUCUGGCGGGCAUGCCUGUUCGAGCGUCAUUUCAACCCUCAAGCACAGCUUGGUGUUGGGACUCGCGUUAAUUCGCGUUCCUCAAAUUGAUUGGCGGUCACGUCGAGCUUCCAUAGCGUAGUAGUAAAACCCUCGUUACUGGUAAUCGUCGCGGCCACGCCGUUAAACCCCAACUUCUGAAUGUUGACCUCGGAUCAGGUAGGAAUACCCGCUGAACUUAAGCA
rnacentral:rRNA from 1 species